rnacentral:misc_RNA from 1 species
GUGAAUCAUCAAAUCUUUGAACGCAAAUUGCACUCUCUUCGGGGAGUAUGCCUGUUUGAGGUUCAGCCUAAAAAAAAUCGACGUAGUCGCUGUUUCUCGGUGACUUUCGUCGGAAAUUGGGUCAUCUUAAACCUCUUGGUCUUAAUCGUCUUAAAAUUUUCUUUCCGAUACCACGAACGUAUCUAAGAUUUACUUACACGUUUACGGUAUCGAUCUUUCUUAUCCGUGGCCGUUGCAUCGG